GGGGACGGCGUGGGGGUCGCGGCCUAGUUGCCUCGUUUUCCUUUUUCCCCUUGCGAGCGGGAUGCGCACGGACCCUCCGGGCGACGUGUUCAUCUGCUUGUCAAACAACGAACCCCGGCGCAAGACGCGCCAAGGAAAAACUGAACAAAGAGCGCGCGUCCCUGCCCGUUCUCGGGCGGCGUUGGCGCGUGCAACCUUUCGUAUAACUGAACGACUCUCGGCAACGGAUAUCUCGGCUCUUGCAUCGAUGAAGAACGUAGCGAAAUGCGAUACUUGGUGUGAAUUGCAGAAUCCCGUGAACCAUCGAGUCUUUGAACGCAAGUUGCGCCUGAAGCCAUUAGGCUGAAGGCACGUCUGCCUGGGCGUCACGCAUUGCGUCACCCACUCCCCCGUGCCCCCUCUGGGCGGGCACGCCGGUGCGUGGGCGGAUAUUGGCCCCCCGUCCGCAUUCGUGCUCGGUCGGCCUAAAAAACGGGUCCCCAACGGCGGACAUCACGACGAGUGGUGGUUGCUAAACCGUCGCGUCGCGUCGUGCGUGCCAUCGUCUGUUGUGGGUUGGCCCAUUGACCCUGGAGCGCCGCUUAACUGCGGCGCCUCAACU
rnacentral:misc_RNA from 1 species